rnacentral:rRNA from 1 species
UGAGGAAUAUUGGUCAAUGGGCGAGAGCCUGAACCAGCCAAGUAGCGUGCAGGAUGACGGCCCUAUGGGUUGUAAACUGCUUUUAUAAGGGAAUAAAGUGAGAGUCGUGACUCUUUUUGUAUGUACCUUAUGAAUAAGGACCGGCUAAUUCCGUGCCAGCAGCCGCGGUAAUACGGAAGGUCCGGGCGUUAUCCGGAUUUAUUGGGUUUAAAGGGAGCGCAGGCCGCCGGGCAAGCGUGUUGUGAAAUGCAGUCGCUCAACGUCUGCACUGCAGCGCGAACUGCCCAGCUUGAGUGCGCGCAACGUUGGCGGAAUUCGCCGUGUAGCGGUGAAAUGCUUAGAUAUGGCGAAGAACUCCGAUUGGGAAGCCAGCUUACUGUAGCGCCACUGACGCUGAUGCUCGAAAGUGCGGGUAUCGAACAGGAUUAGAUACCCUGGUAGU